rnacentral:lncRNA from 1 species
AAAAAUUAGUAUCAAACUACAUUUGCAACAAUCCAAUACCAAAUUUUUAAGACUGAUAAAUCUCCCAAGUACCCUCUAGCAGAAAUAUUGAUCACCCCUUUUACUAACAUGUAACAGUGUAAGAGAAAUCAAAAUACGGUAAAACAGAGAGAUUAAACAUUAUUCAGAAAAACAAAAAAUAUUGAUCACCCCUUUUACUAACAUGUAACAGUGUAAGAGAAAUCAAAAUACGGUAAAACAGAGAGAUUAAACAUUAUUCAGAAAAACAAAAAAAGUCGUUACAUAAGAAAAAAUAUAUCCAUCAUACGCUAUUGUUGAUGAUUCUUCGCCUUGCAAGAAACCUAGCGAUCGGCGGCGUAA